UUGAUCUCAAAUCAGGCAGGACUACCCGCUGAACUUAAGCAUAUCAAUAAGCGGAGGAAAAGAAACUAACAAGGAUUCCCCUAGUAACUGCGAGUGAAGCGGGAAAAGCUCAAAUUUAAAAUCUGACAGUUGUUCUGGCUGUCCGAGUUGUAAUCUAGAGAAGUGUUGCCCGCGCUGGACCGUGUACAAGUCUCCUGGAAUGGAGCAUCAUAGAGGGUGAGAAUCCCGUCUUUGACAUGGACUACCAGGGCUUUUGUGGUGCGCUCUCGAAGAGUCGAGUUGUUUGGGAAUGCAGCUCAAAAUGGGUGGUAAAUGCCAUCUAAAGCUAAAUAUUGGCGAGAGACCGAUAGCGAACAAGUACCGUGAGGGAAAGAUGAAAAGAACUUUGGAAAGAGAGUUAAACAGUACGUGAAAUUGCUGAAAGGGAAACGCUUGAAGUCAGUCGCAUCGACUGGAAAUCAACCUUGCUUUUGCUUGGUGUAUUUUCUGGCUUGAUGGGUCAGCAUCAAUUUUGAUUGCUGGAUAAAGGCUUGGGGAAUGUGGCAUCUUAGGAUGUGUUAUAGCCCUUGGUUGCAUACAGCGGUUGGGAUUGAGGAACUCAGCACGCCGCAAGGCCGGGUUUCGACCACGUUUACGUGCUUAGGAUGCUGGCAUAAUGGCUUUAAUCGACCCGUCUUGAAACACGGACCAAGGAGUCUAACAUGCCUGCGAGUGUUUGGGUGGAAAACCCAUGCGCGCAAUGAAAGUGAAAGUUGAGAUCCCUGUCGUGGGGAGCAUCGACGCCCAGACCAGACCUUUUGCGACGGAUCUGCGGUAGAGCAUGUAUGUUGGGACCCGAAAGAUGGUGAACUAUGCCUGAAUAGGGUGAAGCCAGAGGAAACUCUGGUGGAGGCUCGUAGCGAUUCUGACGUGCAAAUCGAUCGUCAAAUUUGGGUAUAGGGGCGAAAGACUAAUCGAACCAUCUAGUAGCUGGUUCCUGCCGAAGUUUCCCUCAGGAUAGCAGAAACUCAUAUCAGAUUUAUGUGGUAAAGCGAAUGAUUAGAGGCCUUGGGGUUGAAACAACCUUAACCUAUUCUCAAACUUUAAAUAUGUAAGAACAAGCCGUCUCUUGACUGGACCGCUUGGCGAUUGAGAGUUUCUAGUGGGCCAUUUUUGGUAAGCAGAACUGGCGAUGCGGGAUGAACCGAACGCGAGGUUAAGGUGCCGGAAUUCACGCUCAUCAGACACCACAAAAGGUGUUAGUACAUCUAGACAGCAGGACGGUGGCCAUGGAAGUCGGAAU
rnacentral:rRNA from 1 species